AUGUUCAUCCUUCGCUCGCAAUGACGGCUUUCGCGUGGCUGCGUCAAUGCCCGUGAUGUCCCUUCGUGCCGCCAUGCCCGCCCUCGCCGUNGCCAGCACCGGCCCGUUGGAAAUCCGGUCGACAUAGGCGAUGCCGAUGGCGGAGAGGAUGAACAUGCCGUGGAUGAUGGUCUGCCACAUCACGCCGGCUUCGGUAUAGUUGGUGGUGCGGCCCGCCCCGCCGAGGUUGCCCGCUUCGAUGAAGGUGCGCAGCAGGUGGAUCGAGGAAAUGCCGAUGAUCGCCAUGGCGAGCUUGAUCUUCANNNNNNNNGACAUGGCUCAGCCAUUCCGGCUCGUCGGGAGGGCCCUUGAGAUGCAGCCGCGACACGAAU
rnacentral:misc_RNA from 1 species